rnacentral:lncRNA from 1 species
GCUUAAUCCCCAGCCCCUUCCAGUAAUUAUCUGACUGCAUGACUGUCAGCCCAACGAGCGCUUAGGGUUCACCAUGGUGAUGGAAGAUGGAAGAGACACGCUCGUGAUACCAACCAAGCUCUAGAGAAGGACAAAGUAUGAGAGGAAAGAAGAGGUGGCAGGAUGCCACACAGAAAGGGAGAGGGAUAGGA